rnacentral:rRNA from 2 species
UACGAAGGGGGCUAGCGUUGUUCGGAAUUACUGGGCGUAAAGCGCACGUAGGCGGAUCGAUAAGUAAGGGGUGAAAUCCCAGAGCUCAACUCUGGAACUGCCUUUUAAACUGUCGAUCUGGAGCAGAGUAGAGGUGAGUGGAAUUCCGAGUGUAGAGGUGAAAUUCGUAGAUAUUCGGAGGAACACCAGUGGCGAAGGCGGCUCACUGGACUCUUGCUGACGCUGAGGUGCGAAAGCGUGGGGAGCAAACA